GGGGGUAUAGCUCAGUUGGCUAGAGCACCUGCCUUGCAAGCAGGGGGUCGUCGGUUCGAAUCCGACUAUCUCCACCA
rnacentral:tRNA from 1 species